GGCUCAGGAUGAACGCUGGCGGCGUGCUUAACACAUGCAAGUCGAACGGGAUCCCUGGCAGCUUGCUGCCGGGGUGAGAGUGGCGAACGGGUGAGUAAUGCGUGACCGACCUGCCCCAUGCACCGGAAUAGCUCCUGGAAACGGGUGGUAAUGCCGGAUGUUCCACAUGAGCGCAUGCGAGUGUGGGAAAGGCUUUUUGCGGCAUGGGAUGGGGUCGCGUCCUAUCAGCUUGUUGGUGGGGUAACGGCCUACCAAGGCGUUGACGGGUAGCCGGCCUGAGAGGGCGACCGGCCACAUUGGGACUGAGAUACGGCCCAGACUCCUACGGGAGGCAGCAGUGGGGAAUAUUGCACAAUGGGCGCAAGCCUGAUGCAGCGACGCCGCGUGCGGGAUGGAGGCCUUCGGGUUGUAAACCGCUUUUGUUCAAGGGCAAGGCACGGUCUUUGGCCGUGUUGAGUGGAUUGUUCGAAUAAGCACCGGCUAACUACGUGCCAGCAGCCGCGGUAAUACGUAGGGUGCAAGCGUUAUCCGGAUUUAUUGGGCGUAAAGGGCUCGUAGGCGGUUCGUCGCGUCCGGUGUGAAAGUCCAUCGCUUAACGGUGGAUCCGCGCCGGGUACGGGCGGGCUUGAGUGCGGUAGGGGAGACUGGAAUUCCCGGUGUAACGGUGGAAUGUGUAGAUAUCGGGAAGAACACCAAUGGCGAAGGCAGGUCUCUGGGCCGUUACUGACGCUGAGGAGCGAAAGCGUGGGGAGCGAACAGGAUUAGAUACCCUGGUAGUCCACGCCGUAAACGGUGGAUGCUGGAUGUGGGGCC
rnacentral:rRNA from 1 species